rnacentral:piRNA from 1 species
UACAAGCAAGGUGGUUUGUCAUUGCUUAUA